UUUGACCUCAAAUCAGGUAGGACUACCCGCUGAACUUAAGCAUAUCAAUAAGCGGAGGAAAAGAAACUAACAAGGAUUCCCUUAGUAACGGCGAGUGAAGAGGGAAAAGCUCAAAUUUGAAAUCUGGCGGCCUAAGGUCGUCCGAGUUGUAAUCUAGAGAAGUGUUUUCCGUGCUGGACCGUGUACAAGUCCUUUGGAACAAGGCGUCAUAGAGGGUGAGAAUCCCGUCUACGACACGGACUACCAGUGCUCUGUGAUACACUCUCAACGAGUCGAGUUGUUUGGGAAUGCAGCUCAAAAUGGGUGGUAAAUUCCAUCUAAAGCUAAAUACAGGCGAAAGACCGAUAGCGAACAAGUACCGUGAGGGAAAGAUGAAAAGCACUUUGGAAAGAGAGUUAAACAGUACGUGAAAUUGUUGAAAGGGAAACGCUUGGAGUCAGUCGCGUCUUCAGAAACUCAGCCUGGCUUCUGCCUGGUGUACUUUUCUGUGAGACGGGCCAGCAUCAGUUUCGGUCACCAGAAAAAGGCGAGAGGAAGGUGGCACCUCCGGGUGUGUUAUAGCCUCCCGUCGUAUGUGGUGGCUGGGACUGAGGACCGCAGCACGCCUCUAAUGGCCGGGGUUCGCCCACGUAACGUGCUUAGGAUGCUGGCGUAAUGGCUUUAAACGACCCGUCUUGAAACACGGACCAAGGAGUCUAACAUGCCUGCGAGUAUUUGGGUGGCAAACCCAUAUGCGGAAUGAAAGUGAACAGUUGGGACUUCUGUCAUGGAAGGCACCGACGCCCGGACCAGACCUAUUGUGACGGUUCCGAGGUAGAGCAUGUAUGUUGGGACCCGAAAGAUGGUGAACUAUGCCUGAGUAGGGUGAAGCCAGAGGAAACUCUGGUGGAGGCUCGUAGCGAUUCUGACGUGCAAAUCGAUCGUCGAACUUGGGUAUAGGGGCGAAAGACUAAUCGAAC
rnacentral:rRNA from 1 species